rnacentral:rRNA from 1 species
AUUGAACGCUGGCGGCAGGCCUAACACAUGCAAGUCGAGCGAGCGGCGGACGGGUGAGUAAUGUCUGGGAAACUGCCUGAUGGAGGGGGAUAACUACUGGAAACGGUAGCUAAUACCGCAUACCAUCAGAUGUGCCCAGAUGGGAUUAGCUAGUAGGUGGGGUAAUGGCUAACCUAGGAGACGAUCCCUAGCGGGGUUGAGAGGAUGACCGGCCACACUGGAACGGAGACACGGUCCAGACCCCUACGGGAGGCAGCAGUGGGGAAUAUUGCACAAGGGGCGCAAGCCGGAGGCAGCCAUGCCGCGUGUGUGAAGAAGGCCUUCGGUUUGUAAAGCACUUUCAGCGAGGAGGCGUUACUCGCAGAAGAAGCACCGGCUAACUCCGUGCCAGCAGCCGCGGUAAUC